CAGAAUAUUAGUGAAUAAGUUGCUUCUUAUAUAAAAGACCCAAGCAGAAUGGUUGGGCAGAUGCAGAUGUGGAAAUUAGCAGUUGCUGUAUUUGGCACUGUUCCUGUGGGGGAGAACACUGCGAAGGGAAAGGUACAAUGUUUAUGAGAAGAUAGUAAAUUUAAUGGCUCCAGAGACCAAUGCCGUUUCUCCUAUGCUUGCUGACCUCAAUAAUUUGUUUGGGUUGAAGAAGCAGAAACCAGCUUUCGUAGUAAAGUAGCAAUGCAGGGCUGAAUCAGCUGUAUAGUCCUUAGAUCUCAAGCUAAGAAAUUGUCUGCUCCUAAUUUAUUUGAUAUAUUAGUCAAUCUAAUAUCUCUUUAAGAAGCAUGAUUUUGUUGUAAAUGACAAUUAAUGGAAAGUGUUAUUGGCACUCCAAAAAUAACACUCCUCACAAGUGUAUCUUUCUUUCCAAAUAUAGAAAGUUUGGAGUGUAGAAUGAGAUUUUUGGAGUGCCAAUAACAAUUCAUUUACUUAUUUGUAAAUUUGACAUUUAUAAGCAGAUAGGAUGUUUUUGCUUUCCCCGGUGCCAAAAUAUUUUCCCCCAGUUCAACAUUUUUCUUCCCCGGUGUCAAUGUCCUUCCCUUGUAUGUUUAGAAUCAUAUAUAUAUUUUUUUCCAAUUAUUUACUGCUAGUAUACAACCAUCUGUUUUUGUUCUCUGGUACGGGAUUGUAUGCAAUUAGUGUCGGGGAAGAAAAAUUCUUAAAUAUCGUUAAUGUUGGAUGUAUUUUAUGCUAUAUUUAUGCAAUAUUUGAUAACGUUGAACACAUCUGAACUUCGAUAUUUUGAAGGCAGAAAACAUCUUGAAAACAAGGAGGGAAUCCAAAGAUGUCUGUAUCAAGUAAAAUUACAAACUCAUGGAUGGCUUGUGGACUACUGUCGCUUCUUUUUCUGGGAGAUGGAGGACCGAAC